rnacentral:rRNA from 1 species
CACGUAGGGGCGAGCGUUGUCCGGAAUUACUGGGCGUAAAGGGCGCGCAGGCUGUUAUGCGAGUCUGCUGUGAAAUGUACCGGCUCAACCGGUGCCUUGCGGCGGAUACUGCAUAGCUGGAGUACUGGAGAGGGAAGUGGAAUUCCCGGUGUAGCGGUGAAAUGCGUAAAUAUCGGGAGGAACACCGGUGGCGAAGGCGGCUUUCUGGCCAGUUACUGACGCUCAUGCGCGAAAGCUGGGGUAGCGAACCGGAUUAGAUACCCGGGUAGUCCCU